AUUGAACGCUGGCGGCAGGCUUAACACAUGCAAGUCGAACGAGUGGCGGACGGGUGAGUAAUGCAUGGGAACCUAGCCAAUGGAGGGGGAUAACUACGGGAAAGAGUAGCUAAUACCGCGUACCAUAGGAUGAGCCCAAGUGGGAUUAGGUAGUUGGUGAGGUAAAGGCUCACCAAGCCGACGAUCUCUAGCUGGUCUGAGAGGAUGACCAGCCACACUGGGACUGAGACACGGCCCAGACUCCUACGGGAGGCAGCAGUGGGGAAUUUUGCACAAUGGGGGCAACCUGACGCAGCCAUGCCGCGUGAAUGAUGAAGGCCUUCGGGUUGUAAAGUUCUUUCGGUAGCGAAGCGUUAACUGCAGAAUAAGCACCGGCUAACUACGUGCCAGCAGCCGCGGUAAUAC
rnacentral:rRNA from 1 species